UUUUCGCACAAACUGGACCAAUACAAACAGGGUACAUGUGUAUGCACCUUAAGUGUCGAUACGUGUGCGGAUCAUAUCACAUUUGUUUUGGGUAGCGUGGAAUAAACAUACUUUGUUUUGAUUUCAGUCUACCUCAAAGUCUUCAUGUUAUACACAGAAUUUUUCUGCGAUUUCUAAAUUUUUAAAAUGGCACCAAACAAUAAGAAGGUGAAAAGAAAACGCGUGGAGUUGAGUGUGGCGCAGAAAUUAAAGCUAAUCGAGAAGUUGGAACAAGGCGUGAUCUCAGUGACGGAUGUUUGUAACAUGUAUGGCAUGCACCGAAAUACUGUCUCGAAUAUCAGGAAAUCAAAGCCCAAAUUACAAAAGUUUUUUUUAACACACAAUAUUGAUAGCUCUAACUUUCAUGCUUCUACAGUAGGGAAUAAAAGACUCAUUGAUUUUGGGCCAUAUACAAAUUUAGAUACAGCUCUGUAUAAGUGGUAUAGUCAACAAAGAUCUAGUGGUAUUAAUGUACAACAGCACCAGUUGAGAUCGGAGUUUAGUGCUCUUGUAACACGUAUGGGAGUCAGUAUGAAACAUACUUAUCAGUGGCUGCACGAGUUUAAAAUGAGACAUGGCAUUAUGGUAUCUUUGCGCGAUGCACCCUGUAGUGAACCUUCAGAGUCAGAAAAGAAAAACAGUACCGAAGACAAAGUUAUUCCAGAAGAACUUAUAAAAGUUGAGAAUUUGCCUUCUCCGUCAUCUUCGCCUCCAACUACUUCUACUCAUCGCAACAUUUCUAAAUUAAAUGCUUCAACAAUAAGGAAUAAAAAACGCUUGCAACAUUCGAAAAACGCAAAUUUAGAUAAAGCUCUGUAUAAGUGGUAUAAUCAACAAAGAUCCAGUGGUAUUAAUGUACAACAGCUCCAGUUGAGAUCGGAGUUUAAUGCUCUUCUAACACGUAUGGGACUCAAUAUCAAGGAUACUACUCAGUGGCUGUAUCGUUUUAAAAAGAGACAUGGCAUUAUGGAUUCUUUGCGCGAGACACCCUGUAGUGAACCUUCAGAUGCAGAAAAGAAAAACAAUACCGAAGACAAAGUUAUUCCAGAAGAACCUAUAAAAGGAUUUUCGAACAAACUGGACCAAUACAAACAGGGUACAUGUGUAUGCACCUUAAGUGUCGAUACGUGUGCGGAUCAUAUCACAUUUGUUUUGGGUAGCGUGGAAUAAACAUACUUUGUUUUGAUUUCAGUCUACCUCAAAGUCUUCAUCUUGUACACAGAAUUUUUCUGCGAUUUCUAAAUUUUUAAAAUGGCACCAAACAAUAACAAGGUGAAGAGAAAACGCGUGUUCUUGAGUGUGGCGCAGAAAUUAAAGCUAAUCGAGAAGUUGGAACAAGGCGCCUCAGUUACGGAUGUUUGUAACAUGUAUGGCAUACACCCAAAUACUGUCUCGAAAAUCAGGAAAUCAAAGUCCAAAUUACAAAAUUUUUUUUUAACACACAAUAGUGAUAGCUCUAAAUUACAUGCUUCUACAGUAGGGAAUAAAAGACGCAUGGAAUUUAGGCCAUAUACAAAUUUAGAUAAAGCUCUGUAUAAGUGGUAUAGUCAACAAAGAGCCAGUGGUAUUAAUGUACAACAGCACCAGUUGAGAUCGGAGUUUAGUGCUCUUGUUACACGUAUGACAGGCCUGGGCAAUUUUCACUGCCCGCGGGCGCCCGUUUGCCCGCGGGCAAUAGCUGUGCGUGUCGGGCAAGAGUGGGGAGACAGUUUCGGCAAGAGUGGGGAGACAGUUUCGUAAGUGGGAAAGAACGUCGCGCUUUAGAAGUAUAGUUCCGAAUAUGAUUGAGACGUGGUGGGGCGAUGAUUGGAGUGGGGGCAUGCCCGCGGGCAUGCCCGCGGGCGCCCGCGGGCGCCCGUUGCCCGCGGGCAGCAUUUUGCCCACCCCUGACGUAUGAGACUCAGUAUCAAGCGUCCUGCGGGCUGGCUGUACAAGUUUAAGAAGAGACAUGGCAUUAUGGAUUCUUUGCGCGAGGCACCCUGUAGUGAACCUUCAGAGUCAGAAAAGAAAGAUAGUACCGAAGACAAAGUUAUUCCAGAAGAACCU